rnacentral:rRNA from 1 species
UAUCUGGUUGAUCCUGCCAGUAUUAUAUGCUGAUGUUAAAGAUUAAGCCAUGCAUGUGUAAGUAUAAAGACCAAGUAGGAUGAAACUGCGGACGGCUCAUUAUAACAGUAAUAGUUUCUUUGGUUAGUAAAGUACAAGGAUAGCUUUGUGAAUGAUAAAGAUAAUACUUGAGACGAUCCGCUUUGUAUUAGUACAAGUCGGCCACUCUCUUCACGGGGAGUGCGAAUGCCAUUCUGAAUUGAAUAAGGAUGGUAUGACAAUUGUAGAGCACACAGUGUUUAACAAGUAACCAAUGAGAAUUUCUGAUCUAUCAAUUUGUUGGUAGUAUCGAGGACUACCAAAUUAUAACGGAUAACGAGGAAUUGGGGUUCGACAUCGGAGAGGGAGCUUUACAGAUGGCUACCACUUCUACGGAAGGCAGCAGGCGCGUAAAUUACCCACUUUCGACGUGAAGAGGUAGUGACGACAAAUAACUCUCGAGGUGGUUAACUCCACUUCUUGAAGGAAUGAGUAAGAAGUAAAUACUCUUACGAAAUCAA